rnacentral:rRNA from 2 species
UAAUUAAGCGGAGGAAAAGAAACUAACUAGGGAUUCCCUCAGUAAGGGCGACUGAAGCGGGAAUAGCUCAUCUUGUGAAUCUGCGCUUUGCGCCGAAUUGUGGUCUAGAGACUUUUGCAUUACUGGCCGGGCCAAGUCCUCUGGAAUGAGGCAGCUGAGAGGGUGACACUCCCGUCCGCCUGGCCUCUUGAGCAAUUGUCCACGAGUCGAGUUGUUUGGGAUUGCAGCUCAAAGCGGGUGGUAAAUUCCAUCUAAGGCUAAAUAUUGGUGGGAGACCGAUAGCGUACAAGUACCGUGAGGGAAAGAUGCAAAGAACUUUGAAAAGAGAGUUAAAGAGUACCUGAAAUUGCUGAAACGGAAGCGAAGGAAACCAGUGUCAGCUGCGUCAUACUUCCCCGCUCGCUUGCGGUCGGGGCGCUGUGGCCAGCAUUGUCAGGCUUGGCUGGAUUGGCCGGAACCGCGUACAGGGAGUUGACCUGUGCAUGUCGCGGUCGAUCCGACUGAGGUUGGCGAAAUGGUUUUCUUUACCCCG